GUCAAAAUGAGGUUUUCCAGCGACUUCAGGGCGGAGAGCAGGAGGGAGGAGGUUUGCUCUGACAAGGGAACAAGACCUUCUGUGGGUUCCCACCCCGCUCUGUGCUGUGCCCCACGCGGUCACACCAGCAGUCUCCAUCGUCCCAUGGGCACUGCUGGGAGCCCAGGAGCUGCCCGCGGUGCCCGGGGUUCAGGGAAACACAGACAGCUGGGGACUCUGCUCACAGUCCAGCUGGAGAAGCAGGCAGAGAGAGAGGAGAGAAGAAACGACCCAAGGUUGUGCCAAGUGCCCGGAGGCGGAGGAGGCAGGGGGCGUCUUCGUGGAGAGACUGGGAAGGAUUUCUCCGACGUGUGGGGUGACUGAAGUCAGUACGAAGCCGACCUGACGUUCCCCCUGCCUGGUUUAAGGUGGUUACUCUGGAUCUUGGAAUAGGAAGCAGGCUUCCUUCUGGGAGGGGAGCCUGGCUCGGGAAGCCCCGCAGACCCAGCCCACCUGACCUCACGUCUGACUCACUAGCCCCAGGAAGAUGAAGAGAGCAGGGUCCAGAGGAGGCGUGAUGGAGGUAACAUCUGGGCCGCAGGUGAAAGGAAGGGCGGAUUCUGUCCUCUGGUUGCAGCCUGGUCACGGCAGAAACGCUCACAUCAAAAGCGCAAAAGUGCGCUCAAACCUACAAGACUUGGCACCAAGGCGCUGAGCAGGAGAUGCCUGCGUAUAAGCAGAGCGGCAGUUAAGGGGGUUGAAGCCCCGCUGUGAGUUUGAGGGCACCCGCCCGGGCACCCGCCUCCUCCUCUUCUGCAAGAUAAGCAUGUGGUCUCGCGGUGCGGAGCUCCCCAGAGCCACGGAACAACGGGCGAGCACUCUCCAGCCACCUCUCUCUAGCUCUGCAGCUGUAUCUGUCCAUGGCUGUGAGCUGCGUGUCUGUCCAUGUGUCUGUCUAUAA
rnacentral:lncRNA from 1 species